rnacentral:rRNA from 1 species
UACGAAGGGGGCUAGCGUUGCCCGGAAUCACUGGGCGUAAAGGGUGCGUAGGCGGGUCUUUAAGUCAGGGGUGAAAUCCUGGAGCUCAACUCCAGAACUGCCUUUGAUACUGAGGAUCUUGAGUUCGGGAGAGGUGAGUGGAACUGCGAGUGUAGAGGUGAAAUUCGUAGAUAUUCGCAAGAACACCAGUGGCGAAGGCGGCUCACUGGCUCAUUACUGACGCUCAGGCGCGACAGCGUGGGGAUCAAACAGG